UUCCAUACCAGUGCCCCCGUGAUGUAAUCCUUCAAUUUUUAUUGUCUUUUCAAGGGAAAAUUUGUCUUUUUAACCCUAAAUUACACUAUAACUGAUGUAUAAUCAUAUUCUAUCAACACUUAGUGGAAUUCCAUCAUGCGUUCUCUUCUCAACUCUCAAGAAACCAAAGCAAGGGUUUUCUUUAAAAAAAUCUAAUUUCCAGGGCUCAAAUUCAAGAUUUCCUUCCAAAAAUCAGCAAACCCAGGUAUGUGGGGUUUUCAACAAGGAUUUUCUUUUGUCAUCCUGUCAAAGAAAUUUAUUUUCUCUAAUAAUUUAUAAACUUAAAGACUAGGGUUCAAACCCUAUUUUCAUGCUAUUGAGUUUUAUGUAUUCCUAUGAAAUUAUUUAUGUACUCAUACUAAAUUCAUGAACUUUUUGGUUGUUUACAACUUUAUUCUCAUGUUUGACCUUAUGAAUAAAUCCUUUCAUGAAAUCCUAUGACUUGGAAAAUGUUACAUGAUUUUCACAUGAUAUAAGAUAUUCAAUAUGAUGUUUGAUAUUUAUUUUAUGAUCUCAAACUUAUUAUUAAAUUCAUGAAUUCACUUAUGGAUAUAAAGCAUAAACAAAGGCAUAUCGGGUUUUCAAACUUAAAAAAUAAUGAACUUUAUAUUAUAUGAGUAAUAGUUUGGUUUCUUGAAUUAUUAUUGAGCACCAAGGGAAUACAAGUUUAGCAAACCCAAAAUCCAAAGUAAAAGCCACCUAUAUUAAAGUGUCCUUAUUAGUUAAGAGUGUCUUUCUUCGCUUGAAAUAGACUCAUGAGUGAAUUCACACCAAUCAUGGUUCCCUACCAUGGAAAGUAUUGGACACCCUACCAAAAUGUAUUAUAAGUUGGGCUCCACCCUUUCUCAAAUAGGGAAUGUCAUUUAUGAUAAUCUCCCACAAUAAAUUAGUUUAAAAACUAAAGUGUGAUAGGCUCACUUGAUUUGGUAAAUUAUGUUUUGCUACUCCCAAUGAUAUGAUAUUUUAGUUUUAGCUUUAUUUAUGAAAUGGGCGAGUGUUUAUACACUGAACAUUUAUAUCUUUAUCAUAUGAUUUCCAUCAUUUUUACAUAUUGCUCGCAUCCCCCAUAUACUCAGUACAUUCCAUAGGAUUAGCCAUAUUCUUGUUGUACUCUGCAUCCUAUCAUGAUAUAGGUUCUAUUAGUUGCCCUCAAUAUCAUGAUUGGCUAUGAUCACUAAUGUCUAUUCUCAUUAAGUUGGUGAAUGGGACUAUAGGUAUGUUUCUUACUUCAAUAAUUAAAAUUUACAUUCAGUUCAAACUUUUAUGUUUUGGGUCACCUGGGGAUCUAUCCCAACAACUCUUCUGUACAUUAGAGGCUUGUCUAGACUUAGUAGUUUUUCAAUGUACGUUUAUGUUGAGAUUGUAUUAUAAUUUAUAUUGAUAGAUUUUAGACUUAAUGUUUUGAUAUCCACAAUUCAUUGAUUAAAUAUUAGCUUUUGCUCAUGACUUCAAGUAAAUUUAAUAUGGUUCAUUACUAUGCCAGAUGCCAUUGGUUAACUCUGGGCCCCUUGUAGUCAUAAGCACUAUAUGAUGUCCAGGGGCUAGUCUUGGGGCACUAGAAAUUGAUCUAGUACCAAUGAUACCGGUGAACCUAGGUUCUAAUACCAAACUGUCAUGACCUAAACAUUCAGGGCGUGAUGGAAUUUUCUUUAGCCCACCUAUAGUUAAGCCAAAAACAUAGUUCAAAAUAGCGAGUGACGGGAUAAUAAGAAAAAGAGAAAGAAAUAAUGACAUAAAGUGACAAGAAGAGGAAUACAUAUAAACAUGCCAAACAAAAAAGGAGAAAGGACAAAAUACUCAAAAUAAAUCCCCCAAAACUUAUUAUGGUCGAUACACAAGCCACUAUACAUAAGAGUACUAGACAAGUGACAAAAUGAACAAAGUAGUAUGAGAAUAUAUAAAAUAAAACUAAUACUAAAGCAGAAGGAGAAAGAUUAGCUUCAGACACUGAAAAAUUGACUUAAUCCUAGUGAACAUCUCAUCUCGAUUGCGUCGACAGCAAUGAUGCUUGUAAUAGGAUAUGCAUUAAGAAAAAAUAUGCAUAAGUGUAGUAUGAGCACCAAAAUAAUUGGUACUCAAUAGGCAUCAUGGGUUGAUGAUCUCAAUUAAAAUAAUAGCAUAAGUAAAGUGUUAAUCCAUCUAUAAGGGUAAUAAAUAAGGGUAAGAAAUAGAAAUAAGAGGCUAUGCUAACCAAAUGCAGAAGAUUUGAUAUAAAUAACUCACAAGAAAAAUAAAUACUUACCUAUAACCUAAUUAGACUCCGAUAAGCACAAACGGUACACAUAACAAAAAAUAAACACAAUUGAGCUGCCAUAAGCAAGGUGAGUGCAAACAAGGAGUAAUACUAAUGUAAGGCCAAGUAUACUAGUAAAGAAAGAAAGAACAAGAUAAGUUUUGUGAUAUCCAUACUGUAUAUCAUUCCUCCAACCAUAGCCACACAUUUCACCCAUAUCGAAUUUUAUUUCCAACUAAAUAUUAAUAAUAGUGAAUGUUGUAGUCAAAUCAAUCAUAAAAAUUUAUAUACCAGAUGCUUAACUCAAACCAAAAUUAAUAGGUAAUAAAGAGUAAACUAGGUGUCCAACUCAAAACAAAACUAAUAACUUUGCAAUAUGUAGUAAUAUCCAGAGUUCUGAUUCAUCCCAACUCUAUCUAGUUCGCUUUCAAAUUUUAAAUGACCAAAAUUUAUUUAAAAGGGCAUAAGGUUCCAUUUGUUACGUUAUAAGCUACUAUUUGAGGCGAAAAUGCUAAUAUGCCAAGGAUAACAAAGUUAACUAGCAUAACAUAGAGAUUAAUCCAAUCAAAUCCCUAUAUACAAUUUCUCAAAACAAUCCUACAGUCAUUAACAUAAAUGAGUGAUAAGGCUAACUACAAGUCCCAAGAGACCAAAAUAGGCUAAGGAUUCUAAAUCUCAUACCAAGGCCCUAAGUAUUAUAAGUCAAGUAUUAAAGGAGAAGCCACUACCAGAUUAAGGAAAUUCAAGGUCGAAAUCUAUGCUAUGACCCCCUAAUUAGCUAAAAUUAUAAGGAAUUGUCAAAUGACUAAUUGAACCACAAUAACCUAGCAAAAAUUAUCAAUACCAUAACAAUAAAAUAAAAUAGAAAAGUGUAAGGAAUGGUAAGCCUAGACUUUUAGGAUGCCACUAAAGACACACAAAAUCCUCUAUAUCAAAGGUUUUUCCUUUUAGGAAGCAUACGAGACAUGCCACACUAUCAAAACAAUAACCUAAGCAUUAUGACAAGAACAACAAUAUCCAUAUUGUGAAUUUACGCCUUGAGUCAGAAAUUGAGCUUAAAAUUACACAUAGGGCUCGCUUAUGGAUUCACAGAAUUAAAACCUAAAUAACAACCCUUGAGGAACAAUGAUCUAGUAAUGAAAACUAGCAUGAACAUCCCUCAAAUUUGAGUCCUAAACAACCCACAAAGUUUAAUGAAUAAAAAUAAAUUAAACUUUAAAUUUGAUAGGAUAUAUAAAGGGAACUUAUGAGAUAAUGAUCAAUAAUAUACCACUUUGUUGUUUCUAUAUUUAUCUUAUGAAUUCAUAUAAUUGUUUUCCAAUAAUGGAAUAUUUUACAAUUAGAAACAAGUUAAAGAUAGUCGAGAGCACUAUUUAUAUUGCUAAGUGUAAAACACCCUAGGUUUUGGCCCUUGGAAAUUUCCAAAGCUUUGAACUCAUUAUUCUUGUAAGGACUCAUCAUAUGAAUCAUAUUAUGUGGGUAUGGGUUAGGUAACCCAACUUAUAAGGUUUCCAAUGAUAGUGGUAGGGUGUUUGUUGUUGGUACAAUUUAUUGAUAUGGGUCAUUAAAUGUGGUGACUGGUCGUUAAGGUGAUCCUUCACUUAAUUAAAAACAUAGUUACUUGACUUGAAUAUAAGUAAGAGUGGAUUACUAAUAUCCAUGAUGAUAGGUCAUUAUUCAUUGUGGAAACUCAUAUGUUAUACCGUGUCAAUCCCUUUAAAUUUUUCUUGGGUAUGAUUGGACCAUAUGAGCCAUAUGGUCUAGUCACGAAUGGGAACAGUAGAGUCAUAUGAUGGAAAGUGUAUAGGUAUCCAACUCACUAUCUUGGUGAUGACUCAAUGUUAUGAGUUAUAUGAUGUGGUCACGAAUCAAGGGAUCGACUCGACCAUCUACGACAAUUUUACAGUUAAGUUGGGGGCAUUCUAGAUAUUUGUCCUAUUAACUCCUUUGGAUACCACAACCUAAAACACUUUUUUGGGAUUCAUCAACCUAUUAUUGUCAAUCAAACACUCUUAAAAUCUCCCUCAAACUCUCUCUCAAGCAAAGGUCUAGAGUUUCAUCAACAUAACCAAUUAAGGGCUUUCAGGAGUGAUUCUCUUGGUCUUCCUUGGUGUCUAAGGCAUAGUACUCCUCCCUCAUUGUUAUUUUACAAAGAGAAUAUGUUUUAAUGUAUAAUUUUCAUGAUAUUCUUAUGGUUUAAAAUAAUGGUUUGGGGUUUAAGAUAUUCAUGGUUGAACAAUGUUUCUAAUAGUUUAAUGAUGUUUCUUUCAUGCUUUUAAUAUGAUUUUGAAAUUAUGGAAUAAAAGGUAAUUUGACUAUUCUUGAAAUCCUUACUUUGCAUAAAAGUAAUUUGGAUUCCCCCAAAUUACUUGGUUAUGGUUUUGAAACUUAUGUAUCCUCAAGCUGUUUGUUAAAUGCUAAUGAGAAUGAUUUUUUCAUAUAGUUUGACUAUUCUUGAAAUCUUUACUUUGCAUAAAAGGUAAUGGAACUUAAAUUGGUUUUGUUUCUUUUAAAUGAAUUUUAAAGGCCUUGGUGGAUAUGAUCUUGGUAUAAUUUGAAACUUUGGUGUCAAAUUAGUUUAAUGUCUUUGGUAUGGCAUAAAUGGAUAGACUUACAAGAUCUAAUUUUGGUAUGACGAUACCAAUGGUUAGUGCCUAAUAAAAAACUAAUUGGUAAAUGGUUAGAGUGGGCAAAUAGUUUUAAUAUGGGAAUAAAAGGGAGGUGUAGAAAAACCAUAGAAGGUGGAGGUCCUAGGGGGACUAAUACUGGAAACUCAUGUUUAUCGAUAUGAGGUUUGGUCAUGGUGACCAUAUUCCUGAUGGCAUACUUUAUAUUUUGGGUGAUUUAUUAGUCAUCUCAGGUUCUUUUCUCCGAUUGUGCUACUAACAUGCAUUGGGCCUUUCAGCAGAAGGAGCUGAACCCAUAUAUAUAGCCUAUGGGUGGUUUUAGGAUGGUAAAGUUACAUAACCUAGGUAAAGGUUUUAAAUGUAUACUAAACCUAGUUUUCUAUCCCUAUAUGAUAUAUAUAUUUAUACAUGUGAUUGCAUAUGGUUAAUUUAUUUGAUUUUGAAUUACUGUCACUAUUUUAUAUUAUCCUUGAGUACAUACUAACAUUUACUCCACUAACCAUCUUCAAGCGUUGUAUCCCCACGCGAUGUAGGAACUAACCAUACUACCAUUGCUCCUGCUUAGUGACUUGGAUUCAGAGACAGUUUUUAGUUAGACUAAAGUGGUGACCUUUCAUACUCUGGAAGGAUCUAUUUCAUGCUAUGGACUUCUUUUAUUUUUUUUAUUUCUUUCUUUUGGUUUUGGAUAUGGUGGAGGCAUGUCCCAAUCAGAUGUUAUUAAUUUUGGUUAGAGGCUUUGUAAGACAACUAUGGGCAUAGGCAUUGUUGGUAUCGGUGUCAACCUUGGUACUAGUACUGGCAAUAGGGUUGGUACCAAUUGGAUGAUUGGUUAAGGUUAUUGGAUUAUUAUUAUCGACUUUAUUUAAUUUCCAUAAACUAUUAUUAUUAUUAUUAUAUCUUUUUAUAUUUUCUAAAUUCAUUCAAUAUAGGGUGCAGGGUGAUUAAGGUUGGGUAUCGAGAGUAGUCUUCAGUCCUGGUUGGACUUGAGAUACCUGACAUGACUAGGUCCUAGUUCAGGUCGUGUUAGAUUAAUGUCGGAGACCUAUGUUCAUGGUUAAUUAGGUUUCAGAAAAAGUCGUGUUCAGUAGAGUCUCUUUUAGGGGUAUGUAGCACUCCACACUUAUUAGGGAGAGGCUAUAAGACAUUUAGGAAUGUUUCUCCUUCUUGUGAUUCUAUUUUCAAGCUGUAGAGUUUGAGGUACUGAAAUCUUCUAUAAUUUUUAUUUUUUCGCUUUUCAGAUCAUGCCUCCUCAAAGAUCUAAAGAUCACAAAAAUUCCUCUGUCUUACCCAAGGAUAGUAUUGAUAGGACUUGAUCUACUUAUAGGGUCCAGACUCGAUCUAGGGGUGCAAUUCCCGAUUGCCCUCCUAGAGUUCCACAGGUUCCUUUUGGUCAUUCUCGAGCCCCUCAAGAUGAUAUGAUGAAUGAUGAGUUUUGUUAGUCUAUCCAUAUAUUGGCACUGUUAGUAUCUUCUUAGGCGGAGAAUGCUACUUUGGUUACUCCAUCUUCUGAGGCUACAAGGGCUGUCUAGUUUAUGAGGUAUAAUCCUCCAACAAUUACUAGUGUUAAGGUACAGAAGGAUCCUCAAGGUUUUCUCAAUAAGAUAGAAAAUAUCUUCUAUAUUAUAGAGGGCAUGGACUUUACCACCUACCAUCUGAAAGAUAUGUUAUACCAGUGGUACGAAAAAUGGGAUCAGUCUAUAGGUGAUGAUGUUGAGUCAACCCUGUGGGAGAAUAUUUCUAAUGCUUUCCUAGACCUUUGAUUUCCUUAAGAGUUGUGGGGAGUGUAGGCAGAAAAGCUUCUUAAUCUGAAGUAAGGUAACAUGUUAGUCAAGGAGUAUGCCUUGAAGUUUCACCAGUUAUCUCGAUAUGCUCUAAAGUUGUUUCUAGCAUAAGGGGGAGAAUAAGGAAGUUUGCUUCCAGGUUGUCUCAAGACAUAAUUUUGGAGAGUAAGUCUCCUUUGUUGAACAAGGACAUGGAUAUGUCCAGGUUGGUUAUAUAUAUGCAGUAGGUAGAGGAAGAGAAGCAGAAGCAGGUUGAAAUAAGGAAGAGGCAGAGAAGGAAGUUUAGAUUUUCUGAGCAGGGUGGUGGCCAACAAUAGAGUGGCCGGGAUGAGGGGAAGUGGCCUAAGAAGAAGUAGGUAAAUUUUGGGUCUUACUCAACAACGGCUAAUGCUCCCUACCUAAAGACUUUGGGUGAAAGGAGUUUCCAAGGUGGUGACAAUAUUAGGGAAUAGGGUGCCCAUUCUCAGGAUAGCAGGUCUUAGUUAGCUUUAUCAUAUUCUCCUUAAAGAUUUUAUAGUCAAUUGCAUCGGGUUACUGUGAUCAAUAAAAAGAACAAGUGCUUCAAGUGUGGUCAGCUAGGGUACAUGGUCAGAAGCUGUCCAGUGACCAAGGUUGCCUCAAGGAAAAAAAAGUUUCUCGUUGCCUCCUCUUCAGCUCUGACACCAAAGGGUGCACUAUCUAGUUUUGUCACUAGUCGGAACCAUCUUAAUGCUUUCACUACCGACUAGGGGUCUGAGGCAUCACCUUAUAUUAUGACUGAUAUGUUAAAACUCUUUUCCCAUGUUGUUACUAUUUACUUGAUCCAGGGUCUAUACUCUCUUAUGUGACCGCAUUGUGGAUGCACAUUUUAUUUUAAUCUUGAGUGUGUUUUGGAACCUUUACUUUUCCUACCCUUAUGGGUGACUAUUUGGUGGCUAGAAGAGUCUAUAGGGGUUGUGUGGUAUUUGUGGGUAGUUGGGAGACUCUGGCAAUCUAUUAGAAUUAGACAAAAUUGAUUUUGAUGUCAUAUUGGGGAUGGAUUGGUUUUACUCAUUCUAUGCUUCUCUAGACUACUGAACCCGCAAGGUUGCCUUUAAAUUCCCUAUUGAGCCAGUUUUUGAGUGGGGGGUUCUUUCCUAGAUCCCAAAGGGAAGUUCAUAAUGUAUCUUAGAGCUCAGAGAUUAAUCUCCAAGGGGUGUCACUAUCAUUUGGUAUGGGUUAAAGAUUAUAACUUGGAGGGUCCUUUGUUUGUAUUCUGUUAGAUUAUAACUUGGAGGGUCCUUUGUUUGUAUUUUGUCCUGGUGGUUAAUGAAUUUCCUGAGGUCUUCCCUGAUAACCUUCUUGAUGCUCUUUCUUUUAGAGAGAUUGAGUUCGGGAUUGGUUUUGUUCUAGACACUCAUCCAAUUUUCAUUCAUCUAUAUAAAAUGGCUUCAACUGAGUUUAAGGAGCUUAAGGAGAAACUAAAGGAUCUCUAUACAAAGGAUUCAUCUAUCUUAGUGUGUCCUUAGGGGGUACGCUAGUGUUAUUCAUUCAUAAGAAAGAUGGUUCCCUUCGAAUAUGCAUUGAUUACCGACAGUUGAAUAAGGUGAUGAUAAAUAAUAAAUAUCCUCUUCCAAGGAUAGAUAACUUAUUUGAUCAGCUGUAGGGUGCUAUAUUUUUUUUCAAUAUUGAUCAUCGAUUCGGGUAUCAUUAGUACAAGAUUAGGGAGUUGAAUAUCCCUAAGACUUCUUUCUGUACUUAGUAUGGGAAUUUUGAGUUUUUGGUUAUAUCUUUUGGGUUAACCAAUACCCCAACGACAUUCAUUUCUUUGAUGAAUAGGGUGUUUCAUCAGUUGCUAGAGUUUUUCAUCAUUGUGUUCAUAGACAAUAUUUAGAUGUACUCUUAGAGCGAGGUGGAUCAUACCGAUCACCUCCACAUUGUAUUAUAGACCAUGAAAGACCAGUAGUUGUAUGCCAAAUUUUUAAAAUAUGAAUUCUAGUUGAACACUGUCACUUUUCUAGGUCAUAUCAUUUCUAGUAAAGGGAUCAUUGUGGAUCUGCAGAAAGUUACAUUGGUGAAGAGAUAGCCUAGACCCAUGACUCUAAUUUAUAUUCAGAGCUUUUUGGGUUUAGCUAGUUACUACAAAAGGUUUGUGGAAAGUUUUUCUUUUAAAGCUACCAUAUUGAUAAAGUUAACAUAAAAGAAGAUAAAGUUGUUUUUGUCGGAUGCUUGGGAGGGUAGUUUUGGGAAGCUGAAGGAUAAGCUAAUUUUAGAUUUGGUUUUGACUUUGCUUGAAGGCUCUAAUAGAUUUGUGGUAUAUUGUGAUGCAUCCCGUGUAGAGCUUGGUUGCGUCUUGAUGCAGCAUGACAAGGUGAUAGCUUAUGUCUCAAGAUAGUUUAAGGUACAUGAGUAGAAUUAUCUGACUUAUUACUUAGAUCUUUUGGUUAUGGUGUUCAUAUUCAAUAGCUGGCGUCACUCUUUGUAUGGAGUGCAUAUGGAAAUAUGAUCAAAUCAUAAGAGACUGCCAUAUGUAUUUAUUUAGAAGAAGAUUAACCUCAGGUAAAGGAGAUGGCUUAAGCUACUCAAGGAUUAUGAAAUGAGUCUUCACUGCCACCCAAGUAAAGUUAACGUGGUUGCUGAUUCUCUUAGCAGGUAGUCUAUGGGGAGUCUUACUUAUGUGGAAAAUGAAAAAUAGGAAUUGGUGAAGGAUAUUCACUAUUUGUCUAACCUUGGAGUUUGUCUCUUGUACUUUGAGGAUGGUGGUAUGUUUAUAUAGGAGGUGGCGCGGUCGUCUCUUAGCGUGAAGAUCAAGGAGGAAUAAGUGUUCGAUCCUAUCUUGAUGAGGAUCAAGGGUGACUUAAGAGGGCAAAAGGUGAUGGCUUUCGAGAUUUGUUAUGAUGAUAACUUGUGAUACCAAGAAAGGUUAUGCGUUCCCAAUAUAAAUGGUUUACAAGAGAGGAUCUUGGCUGAGGCGCAUGAUUCAUACUAUUGUAUUCAUCCUAGUUUGACAAAAAUGUAUCAUGAUAUUAAGGAGAUGUAUUGGUGGAACAAUAUAAUGUGGGAUAUGGCUAGUUUUGUGGUGAAGUGCAUGAUGUGCCAAUAAGUGAAAGGUAAGUCUAUGAGGCCUGGAAUAUUAUAUCAAGAAAUUAAGUUGCCUAUAUGGAAGUGGGAAGUGAUCAACAUGGAUUUCAUUAAUGAUCUUCCUCGAUCUCAAAAUUAGUUUGAUUCGGUUUGGGUCAUCUUGGAUAGGAUGGCAAAGACUACUCAUUUCUUUCCUGUGAGGACUAAUUUCUCGGUUGAGGAUUAUUCAAGGUUGUACCUUAAAGUGAUUGUGAAGUUGCAUGUGGUUCCUAUUUCUAUCAUCUCAGAUCAUGGUAUGCAAUUUUUAUCUAACUUUUUAUGAUCAUUUCAAAAGGUUUGGGGACCAAGGUGAGUCUUAGUAUACUUUUCACCCAUAGUCGGAUGGACAAGCAUAAAGGACUAUUCAGAUAUUUGAGGAUAUGCUUUGACCUUGGGUGAUUGAUUAUGGUGGCAGUUGGGUUGAGCAUUUUCCUCUUAUAGAGUUUGCCUAUAAUAAUAGCUACCACUCUUGUAUUAAAUUAGCUUUAUCUGAGGCACUGUAUGGUAGGUGGUGUAGAUAUCCUAUUUGAUGGUUCGGGGUUGGUGAGGUAGAGAUGUUUGACCUAGAUUUGGUUCAACAAGCAAUGGAGAAGGUGAAGGUCAUUCGAGAUAGACAUAAGGUUGCCAAACAUUGCCAAAAGUCCUAUGUAGAUGUAAGGCAAAGGAAGUUAGAAGUAGAGGUUGGGGAUAGGGUGUUCUUGAAGGUUUCACCCAUGAAAGGAGUGAUACUAUUUAGGAAGAAGGGGAAUCUUAGUCCCUAAUAUGUUGGUCCGUACUUGGUUUUAAGAAGGGUUGGUAAUGUUGCAUAUGAGUUGGAGUUACUUUCUAGUUUGAGAUCUAUUCACCCGAUAUUCCAUGUCUCCCUAUUGAGAUCAUUGAUUAGCCGAUUCAGAAAUUGUGGACCAAGGACAUGGCCUCGGUAAACGUUUAGUGGAGGAACUACAAGGUGGAAGAGGCUACAUGGGAAGCUAAAGAGGACAUGAAGUUCAAUUAUCCAUUCUUAUUUUCCUCUCCAAAAAUUUAUGCGUAAGGUAUGUGUUAUUCUUAACAUUUUUUUGUCUAUCUUAGUUAAAGAAAGGAUUGAUUCUCUUAACAUUUUUGUUUUCUAACUUAGUUAAAGGUAAGAGUAGAGGCAUGUGGAUUCUAAAUCGUGCUUGUAGUGCCUUAUCCCAUCUUUCAGGGAGGAAUGAUCCAAAAGGGGGAGAAUUAAAACACACUGGGUUUUGUCCCUUUGAAAUUUCUUGAGCUUUGAGCUCAUUGUUAUUUUAAUGAAUCAUCAUAUGAGUCGUAUGAUGUUGGUAUAGGUUGGGAGACCCAACUCAUAAGGUGUCCAGUAAUGGUGGUUGGGAUUCUAUUGUGGUUAUGAUUUAGUGGUAUAAGUCGUUAGGUGUGGUGACGAGUCACUAGGGUGAUCAUUCACUUAAGUAGAAACAUAGUGACUUGACUUGGCUCUGAGUACGAGUGGCUCACUGAGAACCGUGAGGAUAGCUCAUGAGUCAUUUUGGGAAGUCUUAUGUUUUCCAGUGUCAACCCUUUGAAUUCUCUCUUGGGUACGACUAGAUCAUACGAGUUGUAUGGUUUGGUCACGAGUGGGGAAAAUAGAGCCAUAUGAUAUGGUCACGGAUCAUACGAUUUGUAUGGUGGAUAGUGUAUGGGUAUCCAACUCACUGUCUUGGUAAUGACUCGAUGGUACGAGUCGUAUGAUAUGGUCACAGAUCAUAGGGUCGACUCGACUACCAAUAACAAUUUUACAGUUUUAAGUUUGGGGCAUUCUGGACAUUUUUCCUCUUAACUCCUUUGGAUACCACCACCCUAAAACACAUUUUUGGACUUUAUUAACCUAUUAUUCUCAAACAAACACUCUUAAAAUCUCUCUCAAACAAUCUCUCAAGAAAAGGGCUAGGGUUUUAUCAAGAUAAUCAAUUAAGGGUUUUCAAGAGUAAUUCACUUCGUCUUCCUUAGUGUCUAAAGCCUGUUAUUCCUCCUUCAUUGUUACUUUUCAAAGAGCAUUCUAUUUUAAUGUAUAAUUUUAUGAUAUUGUUAUGGUUUAAAAUAAUUGUUGUGGGUUUCGGAUGUUCAUGGUUGAACAAUGUUUCUAACAAUUUAAUGAUGUUUCUUUCAUGAUUUUAAUAUGAUUUUGACUUUGUGGAAUCCAUGGUAAUGGUAAAUGGAUCUAGGUGUACUUUGGAUUCCCCCUAUGCUUAUGGUUUUGAAACUUAUGUGCCCUCAACCUAUUUGUUAAAUGCUAAUGAGAAUGAUUUUGUCACGUAGUUUGACUAUUCUUGAAAUUUGCAUAAAACGUAAUGGAACUUAAAUUGAUUUUGUUGGUUUUAAAUAGUUUUUGAAGGCCUUGGUGACCAUGAUCUUGGUUUAAUUUUAAACAUUGGAGUCAAAUUGGUUUAGUGGCUUUAGUAUGGCAUGCAUGAAUAGACUUGAAAGAUCCAAUUUUGGUAUGAUGAUACCAAUAGUUAAUGCCUAGUAAAAAAGUAAUUGGUAAGUUGUUAGAAUGUUCAAAUGGUUUUAAUAUAGGCUUAAAGGGGUUUGUGUAGCGAAGCCGUAGAAAAUGGAGGUCCUAGGAGGACUAAUACUGGAAACUCAUGUUUAUCGAUAUGAGGUUUGGUUAUGGUGACCAUGUACUUGAUGUCAUAGUUUAUAUUUUGGGUGAUGUAGUAUUCAUCUCAGGGUCUUUUCGCCGAUCGUGCUACAAACAUGCAUUGGACCUUUCAGCAGAAGGAUCUGAACCCAUAUAGCCCAUGGGUGGUUUUAGAAUGGUAAAGCUAUAUUGCCCAGGUAAAGGUUUUAAAUGCAUGAUAAACUCGGUUCCCUGUCCUAACAUAAUAUACAUAUAUAUGUAUAUAUGUGAUUGCAUAUGGUUAAUUAAUUUGAUUUUGAAUUACUAUUAUUAUUUUAUCUUAUCCUUGAGUAUAUGCUAGCUUUCACUAUACUAACCAUCUUUGUGCAUUAUAUCCCCAUGCGAAGCAGGAACCGACCAUACUACCAUUCCUUCUACUCAGUAACUUAGAUUCAGGGAUUUCUUUGAGUUAGACUAAAGUGGUGAGCUUCCAUACUCUGUAAGGAUCCCUUUUAUUCAAUGGACUUCUUUUAUUUUUGUUAUUUCUUUGAUUUGGUUUUGGCUAUGGUCAGAGGAAUGUCCCAACCGGCUGUUAUUGAUUUUUAUUAGAGGCUCUGUCAGAAUAUUGUGGGCAUGGGCGGUGUUGGUAUCAGUGUCAACCUUAGUACUUUUAUUGCCAUUGGGGUUGGUACCGGUUGGAUAAUUGUUUGAGGUUCUUAGAUUAUUAUUAUAAACUUUAUUUAAUAUCCUAAAAAUAUUAUUAUUUUAUUUUAUUAUAUGUUCAAAAUUCAUCCGACAUAAGGUGUAGGAUGAUUAUGGUUUGCUAUAAAGAGUGGUCUUCAGUCAGGUUGGAUUUGAGAUGCUCGACACGACUUGCCCUUGUUUUGGGUCAUGUUAGAUUGGUAUCAGAGACCUAGGUUCAUGGUCAAUUGGUUUCCACCAAAGUCGUGUUGAGUAAAGUCUCUUUUAAAGGUGUGUAAUGUGUUACACUAAUUAGGGAAAGGCAACAAGACAUUUAGGAAUGUUUCUCCUUCUUGCGAUUUUUUUUCAAUCUUUAGAGUCUGAGGUCCUGAAAUAUUCAAUAAUUCCCAUUUGUUUGUUUUUUAAAUCAUGCCUCCUUGAAGAUCUAAAGUUCACAAAAAUUUCUCUGUCCUACUCGAGGAUAAUAUUGAUUGGACCUAUUCCACUUAAGGGGUCUAGACUAGGUCUAGGGGUCCAGCUCCUGAUUUCCCUCUAGUCCUUCUUGAUCCCCUCAGGUUGAUGUAACAAAUGUUGAGUUUUCUCAGUCUAUCCAUAUGUUGGCACUUUUGGAAGCUACUCAGUCUUAGCGUGGUACUUUUUACUGCUCCAUCUUCUGAGGCUACAAGUGUUGGCUAGUUCAUGAGGUAUAAUCCUCCAACCUUUACCCGUGUUAAGGUAGAGAAGAAUCCAUAAGAUAUUCUCAAUGAGAUGGAAAAUAUCUUUUGUGUUAUGCUUUCCACAAAUGUAGAAGGCCUGGAGCUUGCCACCAACCAGCUAAAAGAUGCGGCAUACCAGUGGUAUGAAAAAUAAAAUCAAUAUCGGGGUGACGAUGCUGAGUCAACCCUAUGAGAUGAUUUUUCUAAUGCUUUCCUGGACAGAUUCUUUCCUCAAGAGUUGAAGCAAGUGAAGGCGGAAAAGUUUAUUAAUCUGAAUCAAGGUAAGAUGUUAGUCAAGGAGUAUUCCUUGAAGUUUCACCAGUUACUAGGUAUGCUUUGGAGUUGGUUUCUAGCAUGAGGGUGAGAAUGAGAAAGUUUGCUUUUGGGUUGUCUUAAUACUUGAUUUUGGAGAGUAAGCUACCUUAUUAAAAAGGAAAAUAGAUAUAUCCAGGUUGGUUAUGUAUAUGUAGCAGGUAAAACAAGAGAACAAGAAGCAGGUUGAUAUAAAGGUCAGGCAGAGCAGAAAGUUCAAAUUUUCUAAGUAGGGUGGUAGACAAAAGUAGAGUGGCAAGGAUGGGGGAAGUGGCCCAAGAAGAAGUAGCACAAUUCUAGGUUUUACUCAACGGCUUGUACUUCCCACCCAAAGCCUUCGGGUGACAAGCAUUUCCAAUAGGGCAACAAUAAUAGGGCACAAGGUGCCACUUUAAGGAUAUCGAGGCAUAGUAAGCUCAGUCAUAUCCUUCAUACAGUUUUUAUACUCGAUUGCAUUAGGGUUACAGUGAUGAAAGAAAGGACAAGUGCUUCAAUUAUGAUCAGCUAGGGCACAUAUUCAAAAGCUAUCAAGUUACCAAGAUUGCCUCAAGGGAAAACAAGGUUCCUAUUGCUUCCUCUUUAACUUCGACACCAAAGGGUGCACUAUUUAGAUUAUGGAACUAGUUGGAACUGUCUCUAUUCUCUCACUACCCGCUAGGAGUCUGAGGCAUCAUCUAAUAUCGUAGGUGGUAUGUUGAACCUCUUUUCUCAUGAUAUGUAAUGUUUACUUUAUUUAGGGUCCACACUCUCUUAUGUGACCUUAUUUAUGGAUGUAUAUUUUUAUUUUGAUCUUGAGUGUAUUUUGGACACUUUUCUAUUUCUACCUCGAUGGGUGAAUCUAUGAUUGCUAGAAGAAUCUAUAGGGGUUGUGUGGUAUCCGUGGCUGGUCGGGAGAUUCUGGUGGAUCUAUUUGAAUUAGACAUGAUUGAUUUUGAUGUCAUAUUAGGGAUGGAUUAGUUGGAAUCAUGCUAUACUUUUCUAUAUUGUCGGACUCGUAAGGUUGUCUUUUAAUUCCCUAUUGAGUCGAUUAAUGAGUGAGAGGGUGGUUCCCUGGAUCCUAAAGGGAAGUUCUUGUCGUAUCUUAGAGCUCGGAGAUUAAUCUCCAAGGGGUGUCUCUAUCAUUUGGUCUAGAUUAAAGAUUCUAACUCAGAGGGUCCUCUUUUGCAUUCUGUCCUGGUAGAGAAUGAAUUUCCUGAGGUCUUCCCUGAUGACUUUCCUGGUGUUCCUCCUAGUAGGGAGAUUGAGUUUGGGAUUGAUCUUGUUCCAAAAGCUCGUCAGAUUUCCAUUCCUCCAUAUAGAAUAGCUCAAAUUGAGUGGAAGGAGCUUAAGUAGCAACUCAAGGAUCUUCUAUACAAGGGUUUCAUCUAUGCUAGUGUGUCCCCGGUAGGUGCACUGGUGUUAUUCGUGCGUAAGAAGGAUGGUUCCCUUCUUAUGUGCAUUGAUUACCAAUAGUUGAAUAAGGUAACGCUAAAGAAUAAGUAUCGUCUUCCAAGGAUAGAUGACUUAUUUGAUUAGCUAUUGGGCAUUUAUUUUUCUAUAAUAUUGAUCUUUAAUUUGGGUAGCAUUAAUUAAAGAUUAGUGUGUUGGAUAUCCAUAAGACUACUUUCCAUACUCAGUAUGGGCAUUCUAAGUUUCUAUUUAUUUCUUUUGGGUUGACCAAUUCCCCAGUAGCAUUAUUGGAUUUUAUAAAUAGGGUAUUUCUAUAGUUUUUAGAUUUUUUCAUCAUUGUGUGCAUAGACAAUAUUUUGGUGUACUCUAAGAGCGAGGUGGAUCAUGUUGAUUACCUCCGUAUUGCAUUACAGACCUUGAAAGAGCAGUAGUUAUAUGCCAAAUUUUCUAAAUGUGAAUUAUGGUUGAACGUUGUCACUUUUCUGGGGCAUAUCAUAUCUAGUUAAGGGAUCAUGGUGGAUCCACAAAAAGUUGCAGUGGUGAAGAAAUGGCCUAGACCCAUGACUCCAACCGAUAUUAAUAGGUUUUUGGUUUAGUUGGUUACUACAAAAGGUUUGUGAAAAAUUUUUCUUUUAUUGCUUCCCCAUUGACUAAGUUAACUCAAAAAAGGUGAAGUUGUUAUGCUCGGAUUCUUGUGAGGGUAGUUUUGAGAAGAUGAAGGAUAAGCUAACUUCAGCUCCAUUCUUAACUUUUCUUUAAUGAUCUGAUUGAUUUGUGGUAUAAUUGAUGCAUCCCGUGUGGGGCUUGGUUGCGUAUUGAUGCAGCAUAGAAAAGUAAUAGCUUAUGCCUUUAGAAAGUUAAAGGUACAUGAUUCAAAUUAUAUGACUCAUGAAUUGGAGCUUUUGGCUGUAGUAUUCACUUUGAAGAUCUGGCGUCACUCUUUGUGUAGAGUGCAUAUGAAAAUCUUUUCAAAUCAUAAGAUCCUGCAAUAUGUGUUAAUUCAGAAAGAGCUUACCCUCAGGCAAAAGAGAUGGGUUGAUCUACUCAAGUAUUAUUACAUGAGUCUUCACUGCCACCCAGGUAAAUCUAACAUAGUUGUUGAUGCUCUUAGCAGGUAGUCUAUGAAGAGUCUGGCAGAUGUGGAAAAAUACAAGCAGGAAUUGGUGAAGGAUAUUCAUCAUUUGGCUAACCUUGGAGCUUUUCUCUUGUACACUGAGUAUGGUGGUAUGUUUUUACAUGAGGUGGUGUAGUAAUCUCUUCGUGUGAAGAUCAAGAAGAAGCAGGUGUUAAAUCCUAUCUUGAUAGGGAUUAAGGGUGAAGUAGGUAGAUAAGAGGUGAUGGCCUUCAAGAUUUGUAAUGACGGUACCUUGAAGUACCAAAGAAGGUUAUGUAUUCCCAAUAUAGAUGGUUUGCGACAGAGGAUCAUGGCUGAGGCACAUGAGUCGCGUUAUGCUAUUCAUCCUAGCUAUUCAUAACAUUAAGGAGAUGUAUUUGUAGAAUAAUAUAAAGUGGGAUGUGGCUAAUAUUAUGGCGAUGUGAAUGGUGUACCAAUAAGUGAAAGUUGAGCACAUAAGGCUGGGAGGAUUAUAUCAAGCAAUCAAGCUGCUUGUAUGGAAAUGGGAAGUGUUCAACAUGUAUUUCAUUACUGGUCUUCCUUGGUGUCAAAAUCAAUUUGAUUCAAUUUGGGUUAUCAUGGAUAAGAUCACAAAGACUACUCAUUUUGUGCCUGUGAGGACUAAUUUCUUGACCGAGGAUUAUGCAAGAACGUACCUCCAAGAGAUUGUAAAGUUACAUGGGGUCCCUAUUUCUAUUAUCUCGGAUUACGGUACAUAAUUUUUGUCUCACUUUUGGAAGUUGUUUCAGAAAGGUUUGGGGACCAUGCUGAGUCUUAGUACAACUUUUCACCAACAGUCAGAUGGACAAGCAGAAAGGACUAUUCAGACAUUAAAGGAUAUGCCUUGGGCUUGCAUGAUUGACUAUGGUGGUAGUUAGGUUGAUCAUUUGCCUCUUAUAUUGUUUUCCUAUAAUAAUAGCUACCACUCUAGUAUUGGGAUGACUCAAUUUGAGGCAUUGUAUGGUAGGAGGUGUAAAUCUCCUUUUGGGUGGUUCGGGGUUGGUGAGGCAGAGAGUUUUGGCCCAAAUUUGGUUCACCAAGAUAUGAAGAAGGUGAAGGUAAUUCGGGAGAGACUUAAGGAUGCUUAAAGUCUCCAAAAGUCCUAUGUGGAUGUGAAGCAAAGGAAGUUCGAGUUUGAGGUUUGGGAUAGGGUGUUCUUGAAGGUGUCUCCCGUGAAGGGAGUGAGGCUAUUUGGGAAGAAGGGGAAGCUUAGGCCUAGGUAUGUUGGUCCGUACUUUGUUUUGAGAUGGGUUGGUAAUGUUUAAUAUGAGUUGGAGUUACCUUCUAGUUUAAGCUCUAUUCACCCGAUAUUCCAUGUUUGCAUGUUGAGGAAGUGUACGGGUGAUCCACCGCAAACUCUACCUAUUAAAGGUAUUGGUAUUUUAGAUUCCCUAUAUUAUAAGGACAUCCUAAUUAAGAUCUUGGAUUUUUAGGUUCUUCGAUUACGGACCAAGGACAUAGCCUCGGUAAAGGUUCAAUUGAGGAAGCACAAGGUGGAAGAGUCUAUAUGGGAAGCUGAAGAGGACAUAAAGUCCAAAUAUCAAUUCUUAUUUUUCUCUCUGAAAAUUCAUGUGGAAGGUAUGUGUUGUUCUCAACAUCUUUGUUUUCUAUCUUAGUUAAAAAAAGAAUUGCUUUUCUUAACAUAUUUGUUUUCUGACUUAGUUAAAGGUAAGAGUAGAGGCAUAUAGAUUCCAAAUCGUGCUAGUACUCCCUUGUCCCAUCAUUCAGGGAUGAAUGAUCUAAGUAGGGGAGAAUUAAAACACCCUGGGUUUUGGCCCUUGGAAAUUUCCUGAUCUUUGAGCUCAUUGUUCUUGUAACGACUCAUUAUAUGAGUCGUAUGAUAUUUGUACGGGUGAGAAGACCCAACUCAUAAGGUAUCCAAUGAUGGUGGUUGGGUUUCUGUUGUGGUUACUAUUUGGCGGUAUGGGUCGUUAGGGUAAUCUUUCACUUAAUUAGAAACAUAGUGACUUGACAUGGCUCUGAGUAUGAGUGGCUCACUAAGAGCCGUGAGGAUAGGUCAUGAGUUAUUUUAAGAAGUCUUAUGUUGUCUAGUGUCAAUCCCUUUGAAUUUUAUCAUGGGUACGACAGGACCCUAUGAGUUGUAUGGCCUGGUCAUAAGUUUUGCCAAUAGAACGACAUGGUGGAUAGUGUGUGGGUGUCCAGCUCACUAUCUUGGUGAUGACUUGAUGGUACGAGUCAUAUGUUGUGGUCACGAGUCAAGGGGUCGACACACAACCACCUGUGGCAAUUUUACAGUAUUAUGUUGGGGGUAUUCUAGACAUUUUCCUUUUUAAUUCCUUUGGAUACCACGACCUAAAACACCUUUGGGACUUUAUUAACCUAUUAUUCUCAAUCAAACACUUUUAAAAUCUCUAUCUAACUCUAUCACAAGCAAAGGGAUAUGGUUUUAUCAAUAUACUCAAUUGGGGGCUUUCAAGAGUAAUGCUCUUUGUCUUUCUUGGUGUCUAAGGCAUGUUACUCCUCCCUCAUUGUUAUUUUACAAAGAGCAUAUGUUUUAAUGUAUAUUUUUCAUGAUAUUAUUAUGGUUUAAAAUAAUGGUUAGGGGUUAUGGAUGUUCAUGGUUAAACAAUGUUUGUAAUAGUUUAAUAAUGUUCCUUUCAUGCUUCUAAUAUGAUUUUGACCUUGUGGAAUUCAUGGUAAUGGUAAAUGGAUUUAAGGGUAAUUUGUAUUCCCCCAAAUUACUUGGUUAUGGUUUUGAAACUUAUGUUCCCUCAACCUGUUUGUUAAAAUGCCAAUGAGAAUGAUUUUGUCACAUAGUUUGACUAUUCUUAAAAUCUUUACAAUGCAUAAUAGAGAAUGGAACUUAAAUUGGUUUGGUUGGUUUUAAUUGGUUUGUGAAGGCCUUGGUGGCCAUGGUUUUGGUUUAAUUUUAAACUUUAGAGUCAAAUUGGUUUAAUGUCUUUGGUAUUACAUAAAUGGAUAGACUUGUAAGAUCUAAUUUUGUAUGACGAUACCAAUAGUUAAUGCCAAAUAAAAGACUCCUUGGUAAAUGGUUUUAAUAUGGGCUUAAAGUGGGUGUGUAUCAAAUCCAUGGAUGUUAGAGGUCCUAGUGGGACCAAUACUAGAAACUCAUGUUUGCCGAUGUGAGGUUUGGUCAUGGAGACUGUGUGUUUGAUGUCUCACUUUAUAUUUUUGGAGAUGUACUAGUCAUCACAAGUUCUUUUCUCCGGUUAUGCGGCUAACAUACAUUCGAGACCUUUGAACAGGGAGAGCUAAACCCAUAUAGCCCAUGGGCUGUUUUAGGACAGAAAAUCUACACAACCUAGGUAAAGAUAUUAAAUGCAUUCUAAACCUUGUUCCCUAUCCCGACAUGAUAUAUAUAUAUGUGUGUGUAUAUAUGUGAUUUCAUAUGGUUAAUUGAUUUGGUUUUGAAUUACUGGAAUUAUUUUAUGUUAUCCUUAAGUACAUGAAAGUGUUCACUCUGCUAACCAUCUUCGAGUGUUGUAUCCCCAUGCGAUGUAGGAACCAGCCAUACUACCAUUACUCCUACUCAGUAACUUGGAUUAGGGGACAACUUUGAGUCAGACAGAAGUGGUGAGCUUCCAUACUUUUGAAGGCUCCAUUUCAUGAUAUGGACUUCCUUUAUUUUUGUUAUUUCUUUAGUUUGGUUUAGGCUAUGGUCAGGGUUAUGUCCCGACCGGAUGUUAUUGAUUAUGGUUAUAGGCUUUGUCAAACUACUAUAGGCAUGGGCGUUGUCAAUAUUGGUGUCAGCCUUGGUAUUGGUAUUGGCACUGGGGUUGGCACUGGUUGGAAAGUUUAUUGAGG
rnacentral:lncRNA from 1 species